rnacentral:rRNA from 1 species
AAACGAUAUUGGAAGCUUGCUUCCGAUAGGCGUCGACCGGCGCACGGGUGAGUAGCGCGUAUCCAACCUGCCCACCACUUGGGGAUAACCUUGCGAAAGUAAGACUAAUACCCAAUGACGUCUCUAGUAGGCAUCUGAAAGAGAUUAAAGAUUUAUCGGUGAUGGAUGGGGAUGCGUCUGAUUAGCUUGUUGGCGGGGUAACGGCCCACCAAGGCAACGAUCAGUAGGGGUUCUGAGAGGAAGGUCCCCCACAUUGGAGCUGGGACACGGUCCAAACUCC